rnacentral:misc_RNA from 1 species
GAUGAAGAACGCAUUGAAAUGCGAUAAGUAGUGUGAAUUGCAGAAUUCAGUGAAUCAUCGAAUCUUUGAACGCACCUUGCACCCUUUGGCAUUCUGAAGGGUAUGCUCGUUUGAGUGUCAUUGUACUCUCACACUCCCGAUCUUUGCAUUGGGAGCAGUGGACUUGGGUUUGCUGCUUCACCGUCGCUUACCUCAAAUAGGUUAGUGCAACUCUUGGUUGGACAUAGUACGGCGUGAUAAGUGUUCUUCGCCGGUGCCUCGCAAAGAGGGUGGCCGAUCGGGAUGUUGUGCUCCAAACCGUCUUCGGACAAUCUCUGACGACUUGACCUCAAAUCGAGUAAGACUACCCGCUGAACUUAAGCAUAUCAAUAAGCGGAGGA